GGGCCCUUAGCUUGAGUUACUCCAUAUUGCUUUGCUCCCCUUACUGCGCAUGUGUUAAGGGAUGGAAUUUUCCAUUGCAGGUGUGUCUAGGCAAGUCACCUGUGUAGCCGUUCUUAUCUAUGCAGCUGUGGGCAUGUCUUAGGCAAGCCCCUCUGUACAAGUUCCCUUAUCUGUGCCUGCAGCUUGAUUUUUUUAGGCUUUUCUUUUGUUUGAGAGAAGUUAACCAAGGACCCACCCUAACUGACUGCCUGACUGAUUUCUUCCUUUUCCCUCUCUCACUAGGGAAGGGAAAUAUCCAACUCAAGGCCAAUGUAGCCUUCAAGGCAGCAGCAGAGAAGUACUCAAUUUUAGCACCCUCUAGCUUUUUUCUUUUUCUUAAAGCCUAGAGGUAAUGAUACUGUAAGACAAAAAUAAGACCUUACGCCCCCUACUGGCUUAGGAACCCCUUCUUGACAAAGGGGAGCCCAGAGAAACCUGAAAAACUGGAUCCCUGGCCAUGACAGAAAGGAAGGUCAAACUCAUCUUGUUACACUCCCUCUCUUUUGGAGUGUACACACAACUCACCCACAUUAAAAUUAAAAUAGAGAUCAUAAGACUGGCAAAACAGACAUCUGCAUCAUUAAGAUACUAAAUUAUAAACAAGACUUAAGCCCAUUCAAAUAAAGGUUAAGUCACACUCUACAGCCCAUAAAAUCUUAAAGAAGUUUUGUUGUUGUUGUUGUUAACCUGUUACAAUGUGGCUUACUUUUCAACCUGACUCUGUUAUAACAUCACAUGACAGCAGGCCCUAAAGGCAAUCAAAAUAUUUUACCCCAAAAUAUAUUUCUUUGACAUAUUUUGAAAUGACUGCCACAGUGCCAGCAGAUGGAAAUGGCCUUGCAAAGCUAUCUUUGGUGGGAGAAAUUUGAGUCUGUGGAGAUCUCCAUAAAUGCAGUCAGGCCUUCCUUGUUUAGGCCUUUCCUGGAUCUAGGAGAGAUUAACUGAGAAUCUGACACCUUUAAAAAUCUGAAAAGACACAUCUGACAUCUAUUCUCUGAGGGCUGUGACCUGAGUCUUCAUCUAUAUAACAAAGGCCUUGGCCCCCACAACUCCUUUAUCUUUACUUAGGCAUUUUUUUUUUUAAACUGUCUUCAAGUCUUUAGAUAAUAGCUUAAUUCUCUCAAUUGUCAAGUAAAGAAUCCCUAAAACUCACCUAAUGACUAGUAAACCUCUGCAUUGGGAUGUCCUGCCUUUUUGGGUUGAAUCAAUGUAUAUUUUCCCUGUAUUGAUUUAUGCCAUUUCCUGUAGUUCCUGUCUCCCUAAAAUGUACAGAACCAAACUGUAAUCCAACCACUUUGGGGCUACUUAUUAAAGGCUUCUUUGGUUUGUGUUUUUUCUGGGCUGUGGUCACUCAUACUGGCUCAGAAUAAACCUCUUUAAAAUAUUUUACAGAGUAUGUUGUUUUUCAUUAAAAGUCCAAAACAAUACCAUAAGCCAUUGUGAAGGCCCUAGCUAAGGGAUACAGUCUCUGUCUUUUACUGAGGCUAUAUCCCUUAGCUAGGGACUUCACAAUGGCUUAUAGUUUUGUUUUGGACUUUUACUAAAAAAAGAUACUCUGUAAAAUAUUUUAAAAGGGGUUUAUCCUGAGCCAAUAUGAGCCAAAAUCCCAGCAAUGUUUAAGGUCAAGGUAGAAGGAUUGCUUGAGCCCAGAAGUUUAAGACCAGCCUGGGCAACAUAGUGAGACCCCAUCUCAAAAAAAAAAAAAAA
rnacentral:lncRNA from 1 species